CGCAAAUGAUGAUAAAAUCAAGGCUUGUUUCUCAGAACAUUCGCAGUUGCCGCGUAAGAGCUUUUGCCCAGCCAGGCUUGAGAGCUAAUGCUGUUUGAUCCUUGGAUGUCUGAUGCA
rfam:Triticum aestivum genome assembly, contig: Triticum_aestivum_CS42_TGACv1_scaffold_486886_6AS